rnacentral:rRNA from 1 species
AUUGAACGCUGGCGGCAGGCCUAACACAUGCAAGUCGAACGAGUGGCGGACGGGUGAGUAAUGUCUGGGAAACUGCCCGAUGGAGGGGGAUAACUACUGGAAACGGUAGCUAAUACCGCAUACCAUCGGAUGUGCCCAGAUGGGAUUAGCUAGCAGGUGGGGUAACGGCUCACCUAGGCGACGCUCCAUAGCUGGUCCGAGAGGAUGACCAGCCACACUGGAACUGAGACACGGUCCAGACUCCUACGUGAGUCAGCAGUGGGGAAUAUUGCGCAAUGGGCGCAAGCCGGAUUGAGCCAUGCCGCGUGUAUGAAGAAGGCCUUCGGGUUGGAAAGUACUUGCAGCGAGGAGGCGUUACUCGCAGAAGAAGCACCGGCUAACUCCGUGCCAGCAGCCGCGGUAAUUC